AAGCUAAGAUAAAAGAACCUGCUCAAGUUUAAGAACCCCACUAUUGAACCAACUGCAUUCGAAGAGCACUAAGCAGGCAUGCAUUUCAUAGAGCAGAUCACCUUCUGGAAAAGGCGUAGCAUAGGAAAAGUAAAUCCAACCACGAAGUAGUACAUAUGGAAUUUGAUAGCCCUUUUCCUAGUAGUGGCACCCUCGCCGCAUGGUUCAUGGCCGCUAUCAUCUUUCACCCGCUUGAUGCGAACCCCUGACGGAAUCACAUGCUUGUACGUCUCAAGAAAAUCCCAAAACAGCUCGUCGGAAUUGAUCUUGACAUGUGUAGCCUUGAAGUAGCCCACCUUGACUGUACAAAGAUGAAGGAUCCUCAUCACUUUUACGAUCGGAAGAAGGCAUCUCAAAGUCCCUACAAAAAGUGCGAAGAAAAAAUAUUUAGAAGGCAGCUCACGAAAAAAAAAAAAA
rnacentral:lncRNA from 1 species